UACAGAGGUCUCAAGCGUUGUUCGGAUUCAUUGGGCGUAAAGGGUGCGUAGGCGGCGCGGUAAGUCGGGUGUGAAAUCUCGGGGCUUAACUCCGAAACUGCAUUCGAUACUGCCGUGCUUGAGGACUGGAGAGGAGACUGGAAUUUACGGUGUAGCGGUGAAAUGCGUAGAUAUCGUAAGGAAGACCAGUGGCGAAGGCGGGUCUCUGGACAGUUCCUGACGCUGAGGCACGAAGGUCAGGGGAGCAA
rnacentral:rRNA from 1 species